GCUGGUGUUUAUAGCAGAGAUGUCACACCUGAUCCCAUUCCGAACUCAGAAGUUAAGCUCUCUAGCGGCGAUGGUAUUGCACGAGCAAUCGUGUGAGAGAGUAGCUCGAUGCCAGCU
rnacentral:rRNA from 2 species